CUGACAACCACAUCCCUUAAAGAAAGGCCCUGUGCCAUUUCCAGAGCUUUUCUUUUUUCUCGUCAUGGUGUUGGCUUUUAAUGGAAACCAAGAAACUUGAUGCACCGAGCCCAAGAAACAGAAACAGAAGCAGAAGCAGAAAGCUUCAGUGGAAAACAGCUAUCCAGUUAAAGCAUCAUCACAUACAACUGAGAUGAUCUCGGGCACCCCUGCACCCCAGCCUCCUCAGCAGGGUGGGAGAGUGAUGCCCACACUGCUCACCUUGCAAGAAGAAAUGACCAUCGAGCCAACCAGUUCUUGCUGUGUAACCAAGGGUGCUGAGGCCCAGCGGCUGGGCCAGCUGGCUGGGAGUUGCUGAUGGAG
rnacentral:lncRNA from 10 species